UCGCCUGCAUGAAGUUGGAAUUGCUAGUAAUCGCGAAUCAGAAUGUCGCGGUGAAUACGUUCCCGGGCCUUGUACACACCGCCCGUCACACCAUGAGAGUCGAUAACACCCGAAGCCUGUGAGCUAACCGUAAGGAGGCAGCAGUCGAAGGUGGGGUUGAUGAUUGGGGUGAAGUCGUAACAAGGUAGC
rnacentral:rRNA from 1 species